rfam:Picea glauca, whole genome shotgun sequence.
GGGUGCGAUCAUAUCAGCGUUAAUGCACUGGAUCCCAUCAGAACUCCGUAGUUAAGCGCGCUUGGUCUAGAGUAGUGUUGGGAUGGGUGAGCUCCCGGGAUGUCCUAGUGUUGCACCCU